UCUGGGCGGGAAGUGUGAAAAAGUUUCAGCCUAAAAUGGAAUCGGGAAUAGGAAAUGGAGAAUCUCACGCAUGCGCCCUCAGAAGGAUAUGCCCGCUCUGAGCCUGAUUAUGCAAGACCGACGCUUCUCUCCUGACCAAUGAACUUCCGCCAAGAAUCCCUCCCCGUCCUCAAGCCAAUGAACUUACAGCCUGGACUCUGGCGGAACUCCCCACUUUGCGUUCCUUGCGGGAAGACGGACUCCUGCAAGCUGUGUUCCCCACCCGUCGGCUGAGAACCAGUUUCCAGACAGGGCUGUCCAGUGAAAUUGGGGAGCAGGAGAAAGAAAGAAACCAAGCCUUUCCCAGGAAUGUAAUUUUAACUAGUCAGUCUGGAAUUUCCUGGUCAACACCAGUGACGAAAUCUCCUUGACAGACUCCCGGUGUGCUCCAAAGGAAGGUGACCUUGCCUGAAACAAUCUACUCCUUGCUGGAAUCACUACCUUGCCCUGACUCUUUCUGCCUAUAAGUUUUCCCUUUUGUACAGUUUCUUGGAGCUCCUUUCCACUUGCUGGAUGGGAUGCUGCCGAUUCAUGAAUCAUUGAAUAAAGCCAGUAAGAUCUUUA